rnacentral:rRNA from 1 species
GUGCCAGCAGCCGCGGUAAUACGAAGGGACCUAGCGUAGUUCGGAAUUACUGGGCGUAAAGCGCGCGUAGGCCGUUGAGUUAGUUAAUUGUGAAAUCCCAAAGCUUAACUUUGGAACUGCAAUUAAAACUGCUCGGCUAGAGUUUGAUAGAGGAAAGCGGAAUACAUAGUGUAGAGGUGAAAUUCGUAGAUAUUAUGUAGAACACCAGUUGCGAAGGCGGCUUUCUGGAUCAACACUGACGCUGAGGCGCGAAAGUAUGGGUAGCAAAGAGGAUUAGAUACCCUCGUAGUCCAUACCAUAAACGAUGAUUGCUAGAUGUUGGAAAUUUAUUUUCAGUAUCGCAGCUAACGCAUUAAGCAAUCCGCCUGGGGAGUACGACCGCAAGGUUAAAACUCAAAUGWAUUGACGGGGACCCGCACAAGCGGUGGAGCAUGUGGUUUAAUUCGAAGAUACGCGCAGAACCUUACCAACCCUUGACAUGUCUGUCGCGAGUUUAGGAAACUAGACUUUUCGGUUCGGCCGGACAGAACACAGGUGCUGCAUGGCUGUCGUCAGCUCGUGUCGUGAGAUGUUGGGUUAAGUCCCGCAACGAGCGCAACCCCUACUWUUAGUUGCCAUCAGGUCAUGCUGGGCACUCUGAAAGAACUGCCAGUGAUAAAGCUGGAGGAAGGUGGGGAUGACGUCAAGUCCUCAUGGCCCUUACGGGUUGGGCUACACACGUGCUACAAUGGUAGAUACAMUGAGAUGCAAAGUGGCGACGCCAAGCUAAACUCAAAAAUCUACCUCAGUUCGGAUUGCACUCUGCAA